rnacentral:rRNA from 1 species
GGGUUGUGAGGUUAAGCGACUAAGCGUACACGGUGGAUGCCCUGGCAGUCAGAGGCGAUGAAGGACGUGCUAAUCUGCGAUAAGCGUCGGUAAGGUGAUAUGAACCGUUAUAACCGGCGAUUUCCGAAUGGGGAAACCCAGUGUGUUUCGACACACUAUCAUUAACUGAAUCCAUAGGUUAAUGAGGCGAACCGGGGGAACUGAAACAUCUAAGUACCCCGAGGAAAAGAAAUCAACCGAGAUUCCCCCAGUAGCGGCGAGCGAACGGGGAGGAGCCCAGAGCCUGAAUCAGUGUGUGUGUUAGUGGAAGCGUCUGGAAAGGCGCGCGAUACAGGGUGACAGCCCCGUACACAAAAAUGCACAUGCUGUGAGCUCGAUGAGUAGGGCGGGACACGUGGUAUCCUGUCUGAAUAUGGGGGGACCAUCCUCCAAGGCUAAAUACUCCUGACUGACCGAUAGUGAACCAGUACCGUGAGGGAAAGGCGAAAAGAACCCCGGCGAGGGGAGUGAAAAAGAACCUGAAACCGUGUACGUACAAGCAGUGGGAGCACAGAGCAAUC